AAAAAGUUAAAUCAUAGGUUUCCGUAUUCAAUUUUAACUGUCCGUCUUAUAUAAAUUUUUUUUAUAAUUCGUAUUUUUAUUGUUGUUAGAUGAUAAAACAUGAUUAAUAUUUUAUGCGUGACUUGUUUUUUUAAUUUUUUUUCAUAAUUUUUCAAAUAAGACGAACGGUCAAACGUUAGACACGGAAACCUAUGUUUGUCUUUUUU
rfam:Oryza nivara chromosome 2, whole genome shotgun sequence.